rnacentral:rRNA from 1 species
CAGCAGCCGCGGUAAUACGUAGGGGGCAAGCGUUAUCCGGAAUUAUUGGGCGUAAAGCGCGCGCAGGCGGUUUCUCAAGUCUGAUGUGAAAUCCCCCGGCUCAACCGGGGAGGGUCAUUGGAAACUGGGAAACUUGAGUGCAGAAGAGGAGAGUGGAAUUCCACGUGUAGCGGUGAAAUGCGUAGAGAUGUGGAGGAACACCAAUGGCGAAGGCAACUCUCUGGUAUAUNACUGACGCUCAUGCACGAAAGCGUGGGGAGCAAACAGGAUUAGAUACCCUGGUAGUCCACGC